rfam:Paenibacillus sp. MAEPY2 contig36, whole genome shotgun sequence.
UAACGUUACUGGGGGAGUCCGAAUUGUCCGGACUGAGACGGAAUCGCAUGAGAUUCCGGACCCUUUGCACCUGAUCUGGAUCAUACCAGCGUAGGGAAGUAAUCGGCGAUACGA